ACACAUGCAGUCGAGCGGAUGAAGGGAGCUUGCUCUCUGAUUCAGCGGCGGACGGGUGAGUAAUGCCUAGGAAUCUGCCUGGUAGUGGGGGACAACGUUUCGAAAGGAACGCUAAUACCGCAUACGUCCUACGGGAGAAAGCAGGGGACCUUCGGGCCUUGCGCUAUCAGAUGAGCCUAGGUCGGAUUAGCUAGUUGGUGAGGUAAUGGCUCACCAAGGCGACGAUCCGUAACUGGUCUGAGAGGAUGAUCAGUCACACUGGAACUGAGACACGGUCCAGACUCCUACGGGAGGCAGCAGUGGGGAAUAUUGGACAAUGGGCGAAAGCCUGAUCCAGCCAUGCCGCGUGUGUGAAGAAGGUCUUCGGAUUGUAAAGCACUUUAAGUUGGGAGGAAGGGCAGUAAGUUAAUACCUUGCUGUUUUGACGUUACCGACAGAAUAAGCACCGGCUAACUUCGUGCCAGCAGCCGCGGUAAUACGAAGGGUGCAAGCGUUAAUCGGAAUUACUGGGCGUAAAGCGCGCGUAGGUGGUUUGUUAAGUUGGAUGUGAAAGCCCCGGGCUCAACCUGGGAACUGCAUCCAAAACUGGCAAGCUAGAGUAUGGCAGAGGGUGGUGGAAUUUCCUGUGUAGCGGU
rnacentral:rRNA from 1 species